rnacentral:rRNA from 1 species
UUUUUUGAGAGUUUGAUCCUGGCUCAGGACGAACGCUGGCGGCGUGCCUAACACAUGCAAGUCGAGCGGGAAAUCUUAGAUUGAAGCUUCGGCAGAUUUCUGAGAUGGAGAGCGGCGGACGGGUGAGUAACGCGUGAGUAACCUG